GAUCAAACUACAAAGGGCACAUGGCGGAUGACUUGGCGUCAAGAGGCGAUGAAAGACGUUGGAACCUGCGAAAAGCUUCAGGGAGCUGGUAACCAAGC
rnacentral:rRNA from 1 species